AAAAUAUAGUACCUGUCCUCUUAGAGUACUGGUACAGUUUCUCUGUAAUUAGUGUGUGUUCAUUAAUACAUGCGUUGGUUUCCUGCGUACAUGGUGUGCAGUGUGAGCCUUGCACAGUCACAGCUUAAUCUAGUGGAUGGGAGUGCAAAUUUUCUGAGGAAACCGCAGAACCUACUAACCCCUUCCCAGCCCCCAGUGCUUAGCCGUGGUGGUAUUGAUGUCUCCUGCCCAACUGUGAGCACAGAACCUUCCCCAGUAUUUCUGUUAUCUUGAGUAAAGAGGCCUUGUACCAUUCCCUGAAGAUUGCAGUUGAGUCCUGCUUGAUUAGGUUGACUUCUUCAGUGCACUAGCUUUUCUUUUUUUUAACAAAAUAUAUUUUUGAACUCCUUCAGUUGUGACAACCUACAGCGCUGAAGUUCAGGACCAGUGUGAAGUUCCCUUCUGCCCAUGAAGGCUGAUAAUUACAAUGCAGAUAAAUACUUGUGUGGUGAUGGUGGAUACUAGAAAAACUGCAGAAGCAAACUAACCCCUCCCAUCUGUGAACCAGUUUGUGGAACAUGGAGAAGUGGAACUGUGGAGCGUGUACGUGGAGGAAGGUGAGCCAAGCCUGGAGAACUUCCCUGGUAAGUGAUGUUAAUUACAGAGCAGGGAGGAGCAGGAGGUGGUUCGCUUCUGUACCACAGCUGAGUUCUAACAGCUACUGAUGGUGUAGCUGAUCAAAGAAUCCCCUCAGCUUUGAGGAUUAAACUGGGGAUUUUGAACAAACGCUCAUUUUGUGAUGAAGCCAAAGCAGAAAAAAAAUUUAUUCAUGAAGGUUAUAAAAAUGAUCUUGUCAACUCUGACAGUGAUUUUGCAGAGGUUAGACUGGAGCCUAAAGUCUUAGUAGCAAUAUCACACCUGUUUACCAGGAAAGGAUGACAGAUUUCAAGUGAUGGGGUAGCUGUGUCAGGGUAGGGAAGCACUGAGCAGCUCUUCUGUAUCCAGAGUUGGUGGGCAUCAGCCAGAAUGUACAGAUGUGUGUGCAAAUAAAUCAUGGGGUGGAAAACCCUUCUGGUAAGGGAAAGUGCGCCUUGUGCUGGAGCCAAGGGAGGGGGCAGAGGAGCACUGCUGGUGCUCAGGGUUUGUUGGCACUGUGCUCUGCAGGGCAGUAUGGGCGCUGUACAGGAGGCACCAGUUACAGCCCUUGCAUUGAAAGCAUUAUUUUCAGUAAUUCUUAAAAGACUUUUAUGUGUAAUUCCUACCAGCUAUUACUAAUAGCUAGAGUAUUUACAUACUUAGAAAACAACAUUACAUCCUCAAUGGUUGUUAGGCUUAAGGGUUCUGUUUUAAAAAAAAAAACAAACAAAACAGACAAAACAGACUAUUCAUUUUUGUGUUCUGUCGCAGCAGCUGUCAAAAGAUAGUUAGAUUUACAAAAAUGCCAUCUGCCUAAAGAAGGCAUUGCUCUUAAUAAAGUGUAUUUUCUUUUCUUUUAGAUAGUGUUGUGGAUUUUUGGAAGACUGCGGCUUUUAAACAAACACAUAGCAUCAGGGUACCUUACACCUCUUCCUGGCAUAUGGUGGUAGUUGAAGAAUCCCAGUAGCACCAGCUGCAUGCUGUAAUUGGGGGACAUUUACAUACCAUGCUGUACAUUUCAAAGUCUCUCUGUAGGUACCAGCUGCACAGCCUU